rnacentral:rRNA from 1 species
GAUGAACGCUGGCGGCGUGCCUAAUACAUGCAAGUCGAGCGAACGGACGAGAAGCUUGCUUUUCUGAUGUUAGCGGCGGACGGGUGAGUAACACGUGGAUAACCUACCUAUAAGACUGGGAUAACUUCGGGAAACCGGAGCUAAUACCGGAUAAUAUUUUGAACCGCAUGGUUCAAAAGUGAAAGACGGUCUUUCUGUCACUUAUAGAUGGAUCCGCGCUGCAUUAGCUAGUUGGUAAGGUAACGGCUUACCAAGGCAACGAUGGAUAGCCGACCUGAGAGGGUGAUCGGCCACACUGGAACUGAGACACGGUCAAGACUCCUACGGGAGGCAGCAGUAGGGAAUCUUCCGCAAUGGGCGAAAGCCUGACGGAGCAACGCCGCGUGAGUGAUGAAGGUGUUCGGAUCGUAAAACUCUGUUAUUAGGGAAGAACAUAUGUGUAAGUAACUGUGCACAUAUUGACGGUACCUAAUCAGAAAGCCACGGCUAACUACGUG